rnacentral:misc_RNA from 1 species
GCUUAUUUCACUACCUGCGAAGGGUCGUCGUAGGUAUUUGAAAAGAUAUUCCAUAAUAAUAAAACUAUUGAAUUGUUAUAAAAGUAAUACGAAAAUGGUUUAUUAAACAAAUUAUUUAGAACGUAAAACUUUAAAGCAUUCUAUACGUAGCCGAGGUUGGUCGGCACAAUUUGGACAAUAAGUUGCUGUUUUCUUCAAAUUCUUUUGUGCCUUUGUUCGGUCCAUUCGACGUCUUUUAUUCGCAUAACAUGGUUUGCAUGCGCGUCUAAUGCUUCUUCCGGAAUCAUUUUUCCGAACGGCGAUAUUAUGCUGACUCCGUCGAAGACAAGGAUUUUUUGUAUUUUCAGACAACCCUAAUAAUUUUCCAACUAAUAAUUGUCUAAAUAUUCUAAUAUUUAUAUUCUCCCUUGUUGCAAUUUUGUAAACCUUCAAAGCGUUAACAACAGAAAUUCCCAGAAGGAGUUGAACGCCAAG